UACAGGGGGUGCAAACGUUGCUCGGAAUUAUUGGGCGUAAAGCGCACGUAGGCGGUUCGUUAUGUCAGAUGUGAAAGUCCUUGGCUCAACUGAGGAAGUGCAUCUGAAACUGGCGAGCUAGAGUAUGUAAGAGGGUCGCGGAAUUCCCGGUGUAGAGGUGAAAUUCGUAGAUAUCGGGAGGAACACCGGUGGCGAAGGCGGCGACCUGGGACAAUACUGACGCUGAGGUGCGAAAGCGUGGGGAGCAAACAGG
rnacentral:rRNA from 1 species